AAGCAGCCAUGAAAUACUGUUGCCAGACUGAAUGGAGGAACUGAGGACAUACUUCAUCAGGCAGUCUGCAGAUUAAAUGUAUGCAGAGUGAGAGAACAGGGAGAUUCAGUUUUAGAAGUGUGUGAAGGCUGUUACCACUUAGAAUACUCGAACUAGACACCAGGGGCCGGUUCUCUCCUCAGGUUAGCUCAAGAUGGCAGACCAGAGGCAACGCUCGCUCUCUACCUCUGGGGAAUCCCUAUACCACGUGCUGGGGCUGGACAAAAAUGCCACUUCAGAUGAUAUCAAAAAGUCUUACAGGAAACUGGCAUUGAAAUAUCAUCCUGAUAAAAACCCUGAUAACCCAGAGGCGGCGGAAAAAUUUAAAGAGAUCAAUAAUGCCCACGCAAUAUUGACCGAUGCCACAAAGAGGAACAUUUACGAUAAGUAUGGGUCUCUGGGGCUCUAUGUAGCAGAGCAGUUUGGUGAAGAGAAUGUGAACACAUACUUCGUGCUGUCCAGCUGGUGGGCAAAGGCCUUGUUUGUGUUCUGUGGGCUCAUCACAGCCUGCUACUGCUGCUGCUGUCUGUGCUGCUGCUGUAAUUGUUGCUGUGGGAAGUGUAAACCGAAACCUCCCGAAGGCGAAGAGCAGGAAUACUAUGUCUCUCCAGAGGACUUGGAGGCACAGUUGCAGUCAGAUGAAAGGGAGGCCUCAGACGCACCUAUUGUGAUACAGCCAGCAUCAGCCACAGAGACAACCCAGCUCACAGCUGACUCUCACCCCAGCUACCACACUGAUGGAUUUAAUUAAGUUAAGGAAACACUGUCAUUAGAAUGGAUAAAAAAAAAAAAAAAAUAAAUACAUGGCCAACUCAACACUAGAAUCAUGAACAUUAGAAGUAGAGAAUGGGGAGGGGGAAUAAUUCUGCCACAGUAAGAAGGCAGCUUUCCAACCUGCCGAAAAUAUUUUGUAAUCCCUUCAGCCUUUUGUCACCUUUCAGUGUCGUAUCUCGAUGAUACGUGAAGUGCUGUAGCAUGCAGUAUUUAAAGCAGUUUAGCUACGGUCUUAUUUGUUUUCCUUUCUUUUGGUUUUUAUUUUCCCUGUUUUUUUUUUUUUUGUAUAGCAUGUAUGGAGUUAUGUUCAAUGUCUGUGGUGUAAAGUAUUGAGUUGUCACAAUAUCAGUGCGAUGGAGACAUUCUGCAUUUUAAGCAGCAGUACUGGCCUAAAAAUUAGGUUCAAAAACCGUCACAGAAGUCACUGUUCUUCUGUACAGCUGAGCUCUCAAAGACCUUUAAAAGUUGAGGAUUUUCAUUUGAGUGCAACAAACCAAGUCUUUCAUUCCUCCUAUUCCUGCGUUUUUAUCUAAGCAAGUUUACAAAGCCAAGAACCAAAAAAUGCCAGUCCUGCAGAGCUGGAGUCCUCUCUAAUGCUGGUUUUCAGCUUAAAUAAAUCUACCUUGAAACAUAAAAAGGGAGAGAUGCCAAUCUUUGAACAGUAAAUUGAACAGCUCACUGUGCGUGAGGCGAUCUCCAGUGACAAUGGAACCAAAACCAACUGGGAAUGGGCUCCUGUGGUGGUGGCAGUGAGAUUUUAACUCCAAGCACAAUUCUGUUUUGGUUUGAGUUCAGUUGUUUUCCUGAAAUGCUAAAGACCAAAUAGUGCAGCUUUGUUUCUGAAUGCAUGAGAAUCUUAAAGUGAAACUGGUUAAUUGGCUCUCACUGAGGAAGUGAGUAAAAUGCAGGCAACAUCAGAACUGUUUUAAAAAAUUGGUUUGUAAAAAUUUGUUCUGAUAAUUUGAGAUUUUAGUAGACAAAUGGGGUAUUACCUGUCUUUUUUUAAAGCUUUUGUAAUACACUAACCCUUUAAUUUUCUCAUGAACACCUUUGUGGAGUACUUAAAUGGAUUUUUAAGAACAAGCCACCUUUCUUUGUGUUUAUAUUGUAUAAUUUGCACAUUGUCUUGCAUUUAGAUUUGUUUACACCAGUGUUUUUCUUUUCCUCAGAACAACUAUGUGGAAACCACUAAAAGGUUUCCUGUUCUAUUUUGAAACCAAAUCAAGUCCAAAUUCUGCUCUAGUAAACCAUGGUUUAUUGAAUUUAACUGUUAAAAAGGUAUUUUAGGCAGCUGCUGAGUUGCUGGUGUAUUUUGUUGUCAGUAAUCCUGCUUUAGAGGAUACAGAAUCAGGAUCUAGAACAGCUACAGAGAACCCACCCUUGGCACUUUGAGCGGGUAAUUACGGCCUCGUUAGUUUUUAUCAUUCUGCUUUUUAUCACUCUACUGUCCUUUGCACCCCCGUUUCUCUAUUUUGUUUUUCCCCCUCUUUCUGUGGAGGGGCUGUUGGCACCUUCCCACUGUAUCUGCUGCUCCAGGGGUUACUUGGGAGCAGCGUAAAGCUCUGUUGGUCUGUAGGAAAACCACCAGGAUAGGACAGGGACUCUCCUGCCAGAGAACCAUUUGGAAUAUAUUUUCCCUCUGUCUUUGCAUGAGCAGCAGUGAUGUAACACAUAAAAUCCACCGUGAAACCCUGUUAAACAAGCUGGAUAGGAGAAAAUGUUCUUAACACGGUCUCAGUGCUCAGUGAGGGAUGUUUGCACACCCAGACUUCGCUGUAGCUGCUGGUAGAAGCACGUUUGCCUGCAUGGGAGCUUGGUGCAGAUCAACAUGCUUUUAGUACCCCAUCAGGCCCCCAAAAUUCCAGAAAAACCCCAUGACUUUUAACUAAUGGCUUGAUUUCAGUAGCACACUCCUUAAGUCAUUUCUUCCUUGCCCGAGGUCCUUUUAGACCUGAAAUGUGGUAGUUUACUGCAAGAUACUUUUAACUUUUUCUGUCUUAGGUGGCCUUGAGGACAUUUGAGUAUGAUUUGGCUUGAGGUCCUUAUUUAAUUAAUGUCUUUGUUUGACCCCAUGGAAGGAAAAGCAGUUUUUAGGCUUACACCCAACUUUUGAUGGUCCUUGUAGAUUUUGCCUGAAGCCUGUUCUUGAUGUAGAAUCGCAGGCUGGAAUAUGCUUGGAUAUCUGUAGGCUUUGUCCCUAAACACUCGCUGGUUAAAAUUGCCCUUGACCGUGCAAAUUGUGUUCUUGGUAAAAAAAACUAAGGUGUUGGGGAUUUUUGGCUUUGUAAAUGAGUGUGGCUGAUUGGAGAGAGCUGGUGAAUGGGGAAGGGAGUUACAGUCCCUGUCCCCGCGUUCAUCUCGGCAGUAACACAAAGCUGGUUGUUGUGGAGCAGCUUUGCCCCAUGUGCUGGGGGCUGGUUGUGGCUGUUAAUUUGGAAUAAUCCUCUUAUUUCUUAACCCCUCUGGGCUUUGUGGCUCCAAGGAGGUGUGGGACACACCUGGAGUCGCUCUGCAGGCUCCUGAUGAACCAAAGUAUGGGCAGCACGUGAGGACCAGAGGUAGCACCAUUAUCCGUGGGGAAAGAUGACAUCCAAGAUAAAUCUACAGUUUUAGUUCUUUGCUUAGCAAGGGAUGAGUUUGGAGAGAGACUGCUUUCCUGUCAGUUGUCUGUGGGUGGUGUGUGAACAGGAAAUUAGUCUGUUACGUGCCAGAGUGAUGUUAGAUGAUCCAAGGGAAACUACCCUGAGAUCCCAGUUACAGAGAAUGAUGGAAAAACAUAAUUCUACAUGAAUAUUCAUGUUUUUUGAAGCUGUUUAAAGUUCGCCAGUGUUACUGUCUAACCUCUUGACUUUAGGAUUGUUGUGUAUUAAUGAAGUUCUUGAACUAUGUAAGGAAGUGAUUUAGACAUUCCUCCUUUAAAGCCAAAAUCAUGUAAUUGGAAGAUAAGUAGAUUAAUGCCCACUUUUCCCCUCUUGGAGGGAAGGUACAAGAGUACCCUGGGCUCUAACAUGAGUUACACUUAAAUAUGACCAAGUGGAAUCCUAGUAAAUGUAAAGUUAUAUCGGGAAUCAUGUUUUAAAAUCUGGUGGAGCAGCUCAGACAGGAGGUCUGAGCUUGGGCAGGUGGAGCUGCAGUGUCCCAGCACUGCGUCCCUGACCUGGCUUAGUGCAGAAUGUUUCCCUCCAAAAUCAAACCUGAGCACUGUCCAUCUCUGUCCAACAUCUUGCCAGAAUCAAAACUUGAGCUUGGAUUUUAUUUAUUUAUUUGUUUCUUUAAAGUUGUAUCAUUUGUACGAGUUGCCUGAGCCCUCCGUUUUCAGUCGUUCAGCCAGCUCCGUCCAGCUCCUCCAACCUCUCCAGCACUGAUUUCCUUAGCACUUGUAGCUCAAUCAGGAUGAAUCCUAUCUGGAGAGCUGGUGUUCAGGACCACUGACUUUAUCCCUGAGCUGUGUUGCAUGGAGAGUCAUUCCUAGCUUAGGCUGAGGAGGGAAAGCUGCUGCCGAGAGCACUCGGGUGCUGUCUGUCCCUCCCGGUGUGUGGAACUGCUGGAGAAGGAGGUGCUGGAUCUGCCCUGCCCGUCCUCCCUGGGGAUGGGGGCAUCCCCAAUGCACUGUACUGGAGGGGCAUUGCAGCCCUUAAAUGCCAGUCUCAUUUUGUUAGUGAUUUUUGUAGGAAAUUCUUAAAUAUUUAUCUGUAUAUAAAUUUAUGUAAGCCUCGGUGGCGUCCCGUAGGGUGUCGGUUUCUGCUGGUCCCAUGCAGUGACGUUUUAGAGAAAUGUUCCCUUUUUAGUCUUCUUUUUAGAUUUGUAAGCUUUUUAAACUGCUUUAGAUAUUAGCACUCCUAGUGUUCUUACAGUGGGAUGCUCUUGGAGGUUUGGAGGAGCAGAACUGAGGAGUGCUUGGGCACAGAAACACCCAGUCCUGCAGCAGGGCUGCGGUCAGGGCAGUGCAACUCUCCAACCCCCAUCCUGUCAGCCUGGAAACACCCUCACACAGGUGUAACCAGGGCAGGAGCCUGAUGGAAAAGCUAUUCCUGUCCCAUCCACGAGACGAUUGUGUGGUGUGGCGGGACACCAGUGCACUUUGGGGGGCUGUACCAGGGCGUUUGUACCACACACACUCCGUGAGAGAGGCACCUGCUUCUCUCACCUACUUUGUGCCCUUCGUCUGUCCCUGUGCCCUUCAGUCUUUUGCCAUUUCUGGAUAAUUUAGGAGAUUUGUGCUGCAGGUUUUUUGUACCCAGUGUACCUGUAUCUUGGCAUCAUGUUUAACAGGUGACCCCAGCAGGGUGGUCAGGGCGGCGUUUGCAGCCCCCACCUCGUGUUAAUAAUUCCGGAUGGUGUUUAAAUGCGCGUUAAUCUCGGAGCACUGAGCUGUAACCCCCCAGUACUCGUGUUUGUAGUGUCAGGUUGGUAUAAACUUCACAUGCUUCAUCAUCUGGUGCCGCUUCUCUGUGUUCUAGUGGAAAUCAUCUAGUUUGUAGUGUCUCAUUGCACCAACAGCUGCUUAAAAUCUCUCAAAAGAAUCAUAACCGGUAGCUCACCAGGUGGCAGGAAAUUUGUCAGUGUUCAGCUCCCACAAGAUCCGUUGUCUGCUCCAUGAACUGCCUUGGGAGACUUACUGGGACUAUCUGGGACUUGGCAAGACUGCAAUUCCCAUGUCCUUCUAAGAAGACGCUUUCUUUACGAGGAGAAGCCGCAGGAGGGAACCUGGCUGUCCUUGACGUUUGCACAAGCCAAAUGCCAGAAAUCUGGAAGACAAACUUUCAUUAUGCCAAUGUUACAUGCACAGUUGAUUUUGGUAUUAAAAGGAUAGAUGCUGGAAAUUCUGGUGGUUAUAUAUAUAUAUAUAUAUGUAUAUGUAUAGAGGAAGCUCUUAUAUAAACUGGCUGUUCAUUCCCGAGUGCCAUUGUCUUCUCUGCUCCCUCUCCCCACGGCCAGCCCUGUGGGUGUGCUCUUGCAGUCUGUGAGCGGUUACUUGUCAGACCAUUCCAAAAAUUUAACAAUCUGCUUGAAUUCCAUGAGCUGCCCCUUGUCCUGGCCCCCUUUGCCUGCUCCAGCUUUCCUUUGGAGGAGAGAAGGGAGACCUGGCAGAGGGCACAGGGGCAGCUCUGGAGUGACUUGGACUCGUGCAACUGGUCCGUGGGGUGUUCAGAUGUGGUCAAUGUGCUCAUCACUGGAGCUGGGAUAGAACACAUUGAUUUGGGGUUUUUCCCUGGUUUUCACCACGUUGGACUCCCCGGAGCGGGGCUGGGUGAGCUCACAGAGCAAGGUCCAUCCUGUGCUGAGGGCUGUGCUGCAGCAUCACGCGUGUGUAUGUAUGUAUAUAUGCACAUAUGUAUAUAUUUAUACAACAGGUGUGCACCUAGGACUUGCUGCUGGUUUUAAUUUGGUGAUAAAAAUGUGAAAUUUGGCUCAAAGUACUGCUCUAAACUCAGCCAGACAAGUGGAAGGUGUGUUCCUCUUUUGUGCUUCUUUCCUCUCAGCUGCAGGAAAACCCAAACCAGACCCAUAGGGUCAAGGGACUGCUGAGGACACGGAGCCUGUUGUAUAAAUAAAUGGGUCACACAAGUGGGAGAAGCACCUUCUGCUCCCCACGCUCUGCUCGGGUGAGUUCCCACGUGAGCAGUGUGGUGUGUUUGCACGGCCGGGCGCAGUCCCUCUGCUUGCACGUUGGUUCUGUAAGGACUUGGAGUUACUGAAAUUCCUAAACCUGAAGCUGGCAGUGAUCCAUGUGAAGGCACAACAGUUGUGGCCAAUGUACCUGUGAGUCCCACCACGUCCCCUCUACACAUGCUGGGUGGAGCUGCUGCCGCCCUCCUCCUCCUUCUCCUCCUCCUCAGGCCGUUCCUUCCAGGGGCUGUUCCUGCCAUGCAGCACACCAGGGGUUCCUGCUUCACAGCAGAAAUGGGGGAAUACUGGGGAGAUUUUUACUGCUGGCACCUCUGAAGUUCUGUUUGUGUCCAUCAUGGUUGAUGAACUCCGAGUUUGCCAAUUCCAAACGCGCUGUUUCCUUGCUGGAUGCUGAGCCGAUCGCUGUCAUUCCUUCCUCCCUCUCAUCCCACUGUCGCCCGCCAGGCUGGGGCGGGGUGUGGAUGGGUUGGUUGGUGUCACUGCUGACAUCCCAGGCGGUUUAUGUUCAUUUUGCAUGUGAGCAAGGCCCUGAACUGUGUAAUUCCUCAUGGGUUUGGUUGUCCCGGCCUCCUUACGGAGCUGGCGGGAGCUGAGGGCGCCGGGAGAGGCGCGUCUGCGUUUGCACUGCACUUCAACUCGGGUGGGGGGUGGGGGUAGGGGGAGCCCAUCUUUAAAAAAGGAAAAAAUAGUUAAAAAAAAAAAAACAAAACAAAAAAAACCAAACCCACCACAAUCGAAGUAUAAAUGCAUCUGAGAAGCAAUUAUAAUAUAGACAUAUAUCUAUUUUGUUAUGUUACUAAAGGACCAUACUUUGAGUUGUCUGUAAGUAGACGUGGCUGUCUGAACUUUGUGGAUUGUAACACUCGAUACUACUGAGCUCCUGUACAUACCCGCAGCGACGGCAGAAGGAAUUAUUUUCUGUUUUAGCAUGGUAAUUUGUGUCUUGUAUGUCCGAAUAUAAACUAAAAUAAAGAUUGCUAAGUUAUCGGAAA